UAGUCCACGCCCUAAACGAUGUUUACUCGGCAUUUGCGAUAUACUGUAAGUGCCCAAGCGAAAGCGUUAAGUAAACCACCUGGGGAGUACGUUCGCAAGAAUGAAACUCAAAGGAAUUGACGGGGGUCCGCACAAGCGGUGGAGUAUGUGGUUUAAUUCGAUGAUACGCGAGGAACCUUACCUAGGCUCUAAUGCAUAACGACCGUCCCUGAAAGGGGACUUCUUCUUCGGAAGCGGAAUGCAAGGUGCUGCAUGGUUGUCGUCAGCUCGUGCCGUGAGGUGUUGGGUUAAGUCCCGCAACGAGCGCAACCCCUAUCUCUAGUUGCCAGCGAGUAAUGUCGGGGGACUCUAGAGAGACUGCCUGCGCAAUCAGAGAGGAAGGCGGGGAUGACGUCAAAUCAUCAUGGCCUUUAUGCCUAGGGCUACACACGUACUACAAUGGUAGGGACAAAGGGUAGCGACACGGCGACGUGAAGCCAAUCCCAAAAACCUUAUCUCAGUUCGGA
rnacentral:rRNA from 1 species